UACCAUGCAGUCGAGCGGUAAGGCCCUUUCGGGGGUACACGAGCGGCGAACGGGUGAGUAACACGUGGGUGACCUGCCCUCCACUCUGGGAUAAGCCCGGGAAACUGGGUCUAAUACCGGAUAGGACCACUGAUCGCAUGGUUGGUGGUGGAAAGUUUUUUCGGUGGGGGAUGGGCCCGCGGCCUAUCAGCUUGUUGGUGGGGUGAUGGCCUACCAAGGCGGUGACGGGUAGCCGGCCUGAGAGGGCGACCGGCCACACUGGGACUGAGACACGGCCCAGACUCCUACGGGAGGCAGCAGUGGGGAAUAUUGCGCAAUGGGCGGAAGCCUGACGCAGCGACGCCGCGUGGGGGAUGACGGCCUUCGGGUUGUAAACCUCUUUCGCCAGGGACGAAGAGCAAUUGACGGUACCUGGAGAAGAAGCACCGGCCAACUACGUGCCAGCAGCCGCGGUAACACGUAGGGUGCGAGCGUUGUCCGGAAUUAUUGGGCGUAAAGAGCUCGUAGGCGGUGUGUCGCGUCGGCCGUGAAAACUUGGGGCUUAACUCUGAGCGUGCGGUCGAUACGGGCAUCACUUGAGUUCGGCAGGGGAGACUGGAAUUCCUGGUGUAGCGGUGAAAUGCGCAGAUAUCAGGAGGAACACCGGUGGCGAAGGCGGGUCUCUGGGCCGAUACUGACGCUGAGGAGCGAAAGCG
rnacentral:rRNA from 1 species